rnacentral:rRNA from 1 species
CCAAUAGCGUAUAUUAAAGUUGUUGCAGUUAAAAAGCUCGUAGUUGAAUUUCGGGAUCAAUAUAUCGGUCGUGCCAUCGGUAUGCACUGGUAUUAUUGGUUUCUCCUUUCUGACGAACUAUGAUGUCAUUAAUUUGGUGUCAUAGGGAAUCAGGACUGUUACUUUGAAAAAAUUAGAGUGUUUAAAGCAGGCACACGCUUGAAUACAUUAGCAUGGAAUAAUGAAAUAGGACGUUUGAUCUUAUUUUGUUGGUUUCUAGGAUCGACGUAAUGAUUAAUAGGGAUAGUUGGGGGCAUUAGUAUUCAAUUGUCAGAGGUGAAAUUCUUGGAUUUAUUGAAGACUAACUACCGCGAAAGCAUUUGCCAAGGAUGUUUUCAUUAAUCAAGAACGAAAGUUAGGGGAUCGAAGACGAUCAGAUACCGUCGUAGUCUUAACCAUAAACUAUGCCGACUAGGGAUCGGAUGAUGUUAAUUUUUUAAUGACUCAUUCGGCGCCUUACG